rnacentral:rRNA from 1 species
UACGAGGGGGGCGAGCGUUGUUCGGAAUACUGGGCGUAAAGCGUGCGCAGGCGGUUUGUUAAGUCUGCUGUGAAAUCCCCGAGCUCAACUUGGGAAUUGCAGUGGAUACUGGCAGGCUGGAGUAUGGUAGAGGAAGGUGGAAUUCCCGGUGUAGCAGUGAAAUGCGUAGAGAUCGGGAGGAACACCAGUGGCGAAGGCGGCCUUCUGGACCAAUACUGACGCUCAUGCACGAAAGCGUGGGGAGCAAACAGG